CCCCUCACCAAUUUAAAACAACUACCCGGCCUCUACACUUCAAUCCCAUAAUAAUUGAUACCCAUUAGUCCAAAAUUAAAUUCACUGGAUCACUUUAAUGUACUAAAACUAUAAGAUAUCAACGCACACUUUAAUCAUAUACAUGUGUGGCCCCAAUAAUUAAUUUUUUUUUUCCAACAAUUCUUUCCUAAUUCAAAUUUCAGUUAAAUCCGUUGCCUCUUCCUUCUUCUUUUCCUAUACUGCUGUUCUUCCUUCCCCGACUGGUUCUUCUUCCUUUUCUUCCCUAGUCUCACCUUGAUCUUGUCCCCAAGAUCUAUAAAUAAGAUAAUGAAUUUUGACUUAUUCUGCGUCCUUCCAUGUCUCAUUUUCCGGUAGCCUAUCUGACUAGUGAAUACGCCACUGCACUGUUGAAUUGUUCCUGAGAGGGGGUAAUGAUCUAACUGUUAAGAUAGUUUUUCCUCCAGUAGCUGUAGUACUGACAUAGAAUUGUGGCCAAGCCUCUUCUUUAGCAAGGAUACAUGGAAAAUUGGAUGGAUUUUUGAACGCUCGUGUAAUGCUAACUGGUAAGCCACAACAUUGGACUUUUGGUAGGGUCCCAAAGCUAACUAGGGAAGUUUAAUUCCCUAGAGGGCUUCAACGAUGGACAUCCUCAUAGCAGUGUGAAAGCGGUGUUGUACCACCACUCAGCCAGUGUUAACAACUUACUCCAAAGCUUAGGAUGUUGAUAAGUUAGGUACCUUAAAUAUGUUGGAUGUAGAAGGAUAGAGAUUGGAGAAAUAUGAGAUUUUACUAAUGAAAUUUGGAGGAUUACAAAGGAGUUGCUACAACACACUCUUCUCUCUAUUUUUGAGAGGUUUUUCCUCACUUCUUCUACAUGCUUGAAACUAGUUGGAUGUCUUCCUAUUUAUAGAAAACAUUGAGUAAACUAGUCCUAAGAAUUUUCUACAAUUACAACUAGAUAAAGGCUAUUUUUCUUUUCCAUUUGCAGUUGGAAAACAUGUCUUUAGAGCUGUGUUUUAACCAUCAAAAGUGUGAAUGACUGCUGCCUUAAAUUAAUUUCCAGCUUGCAUAGUUUGAACACUUGAAUGUGAAUUUCCAGCUGUUUUGUGAAUAUCAAAUUGCUGUCCAUGUUAAUUUCUAGAUUCCAG
rnacentral:lncRNA from 1 species